rnacentral:lncRNA from 1 species
GGCUGCGAAUUAAGCCAGGAUUUACACCAGCAAGAAUCUCUCUUCCAAAUUCAUCAUCAGUCAUCCAUGCAGACUUACUCACUACUCAAAAUAAUAAUGAUUAGUCCAUAAAUUCUUCACUAAUUUUUUUUAUUAAAUUUUAGUCGAAAGUGUCAUUUUAAAAACUUGGAUCUUCUCCAACCCUUUCAUAGAUCUCUCCUGUCAAAUUUCAAUUACCGGAUUAAUCUAAAAACUGAUAAUAUUGAUAGAUCAGUAUUUAGAUUAAUUCAAUUGUCGAAAUAUGACAGGAGAGACAUGAAGGCGAGCAAAGAAUCCAAUAAGUGGUUGUUUCGCAAAAGGUAUGAUAUAGUGAUAUACCUUGAAUUACUUUAGGUGUAGGAAACUUGAGGAAUUGUUCACCAUCAGUUCUAAAGAUUUCUGAUAACACUGGUAAAGGACUAAUUUGGCUAAGUAUAUCUGUUGGUAGCUUAAUUCCUCCUUCAUAUAGAUCAAGCACAUCAUCAAAGCUAUCAAAUUCAUUCGGUGUGAAGUUCGUGUCAAAUACAGAUUGUAUCAAUGGAAUUACAUCUUGAGAAACAGACUUAAGUCCAUAAACAAGAAAGUCUGAGGAUUUCAAGUGGCCGAAAGCUUCAUCUCUUGGAAUAUACACACUAGAGCUCCUGCUCUCACUGUUAGGAUCUGUUGUGAUAAUUCAAUAAAAAUUAUAAGUAACAGUAAAAUAUUUUUCAUUAUAAUGAUAUUUUUCGCCAAGCUGUGGUAGUUGAGCGAUAAAAGUUUGACUUUGUAAACUCAAGCGUCAUGUUUAAAUUUCAUUUAAGAUAGUUGUAAAAUAAUCAUUAAUGUCCCCGUUAUUCAUAGUAUUUUUCUGUCCUAAUUUUUUUAAAAAAGAAAAUAACUUCAUACCAUUACAUGCUAUGUAUCAAUGAGAUUCAUUCCUACAAAUUUUGUAUAAAAAAUUAAGACAAAAUCUAAUAAAGUAUUUACUGAAGUUUAUUAAAGAGAAGAAAAAAAAGAGAUGAGACAUGAAUCCAAGAACAUAGUCGAACCUGUUGCUGUUGGUUUUCUGCCCGUUCUUCCCCUACGAGGAUAAGGAAGGCUGCUAGAUCCUCCCAAAACUGGACGAGCGUAGCUUUGACCCUUGUCGGGGUCACCCAAAUCAUUGUAAACAUCAUAAUCAUAAACUCUGUCCCAUUCUUUGCGCUCCCCCGUUCCAUCUCCUCUUAAAGUCUUCAACUCUAAUUGUCUAUAGUAGACAAGUGGAGCAGGUGUUUCACUUGGUAGAAAAGUCUGCAAUAUAUUUUAUGUAUUUGAUGUUACACACUUUAAGAUUUUUUUAUUUUUUUUUAUUUUUUUAUUAUUGUUUGCUCAAAAAAAAAAGAUUUUUAUUAUUGGUAUAGUAUAUGUGAUGAUAAUGUAUGACAUCGGUUAGCUUGUUUCUCAAGCAACUAACAUAUUAAAUAACAUAUGCUCUUCCAUUUUCAAAAAUAAAUUUUUGUCACACUUAUUUGUUUAAUAAGGUGACCACACUCACCACCUUUAAUCAAUCAAAUUACGAGAUGAGUGUUUGUGAAAAAAAUAAAUAGAAGUGAUGUAUACAUAUCAAUCAUUCAAGCAAACUUGAAUAGAGAUGAGAGAAAUUUUUUCUAUACUAUAAAGUAUUAAAUUCAAAUACUAUUAGGUAGAUAGAUAGAUUGCUCUUACAUUGUUGGCGAAGAAAAUACGAUCAGUUAGGUAGUUUUUCGCAUUGUAAACCCACGAGUUGCAAACAAAGUGAAUGGUUCCAACGUUUGGGAUAUCAUCAAGAGUCAAACUCACAAGGAGGAACUCAGUUGACAUAAAGUUCUUAAUUUUGAAUGCUCCAGGAAUUCCAAAGUUGCUAUCAUAUUCAAAUUCAAUGCUGAAAGCUGUUUGUUUAUCUCCCAAUGUUGGCAAAUUGUUAAUUGCCUCUUUUAAAUAAGCUUCUUUUCCAAGUUUCCCUUCCCCAGUUACUGAAAAAUAUGCAUAAAUUAAAACAUAAAGUUACUUAUAAAGCAUAAAUUAAUUUGUACCAAGAUGGAGAAUAAUUUUAGUUAGUCAAGAGUUAUUGGGAAAAAGGAGCAUGUUCCUUAUCUCAAACAUUAAUUUUUCACUUUCUAAUUCGACAAAAAAAACUUACACCCAAUUUUAGUAGAGCUAAUUAACUGGAGACAAAUCGAUCGACCCAGAAAGGAAGUAAGUGUAUCAAAAAUCGAUCCAAACCCAUCUAAGGCUCCAUCGAUAAUCUUCGUAGGAUCAGUUAAGCUGUUGAUGUCCAAGACAUUCUUCUGCAUCAGCACCAAUGUGCCUUUGAUCUUAUCAUUCCCAAAUAGGAAAGACAUUUUUGCUUACCGAUCAAGCCACAAUAUUGUUAAAAUGGA